rnacentral:misc_RNA from 1 species
GAUGAAGAACGUAGCGAAAUGCGAUAAGUAAUGUGAAUUGCAGAAUUCAGUGAAUCAUCGAAUCUUUGAACGCACCUUGCGCUCCUUGGUAUUCCGAGGAGCAUGCCUGUUUGAGUGUCAUUAAAUUCUCAACCUCACCAGUUUUGUAACGAGACAGGUGAAGGCUUGGAUGUGGGGGUUUUGCAGGCUGCCUCAGUGCUGGUCUGCUCUCCUGAAAUGCAUUAGCGAGCUCAUAUUGAGCUUCCGUCUAUUGGUGUGAUAAUUAUCUACGCCGUGGAUUGGACUCAUGCUUGCUUCUAACCGUCCGCAAGGACAAUUUACUUGACUAAUUUGACCUCAAAUCAGGUAGGACUACCCGCUGAACUUAAGCAUAUCAAUAAGCGGAGGA